rnacentral:rRNA from 1 species
AAAUUGAAGAGUUUGAUCAUGGCUCAGAUUGAACGCUGGCGGCAGGCCUAACACAUGCAAGUCGAGCGGUAGCACAGAGAGCUUGCUCUCGGGUGACGAGCGGCGGACGGGUGAGUAAUGUCUGGGAAACUGCCUGAUGGAGGGGGAUAACUACUGGAAACGGUAGCUAAUACCGCAUAAUGUCGCAAGACCAAAGUGGGGGACCUUCGGGCCUCAUGCCAUCAGAUGUGCCCAGAUGGGAUUAGCUAGUAGGUGGGGUAACGGCUCACCUAGGCGACGAUCCUAGCUGGUCUGAGAGGAUGACCAGCCACACUGGAACUGAGACACGGUCCAGACUCCUACGGGAGGCAGCAGUGGGGAAUAUUGCACAAUGGGCGCAAGCCUGAUGCAGCCAUGCCGCGUGUGUGAAGAAGGCCUUCGGGUUGUAAAGCACUUUCAGCGGGGAGGAAGGCGAUAAGGUUAAUAACCUUGUCGAUUGACGUUACCCGCAGAAGAAGCACCGGCUAACUCCGUGCCAGCAGCCGCGGUAAUACGGAGGGUGCAAGCGUUAAUCGGAAUUACUGGGCGUAAAGCGCACGCAGGCGGUCUGUCAAGUCGGAUGUGAAAUCCCGGGCUCAACCUGGGAACUGCAUUCGAAACUGGCAGGCUAGAGUCUUGUAGAGGGGGGUAGAAUUCCAGGUGUAGCGGUGAAAUGCGUAGAGAUCUGGAGGAAUACCGGUGGCGAAGGCGGCCCCCUGGACAAAGACUGACGCUCAGGUGCGAAAGCGUGGGGAGCAAACAGGAUUAGAUACCCUGGUAGUCCACGCCGUAAACGAUGUCGAUUUGGAGGUUGUGCCCUUGAGGCGUGGCUUCCGGAGCUAACGCGUUAAAUCGACCGCCUGGGGAGUACGGCCGCAAGGUUAAAACUCAAAUGAAUUGACGGGGGCCCGCACAAGCGGUGGAGCAUGUGGUUUAAUUCGAUGCAACGCGAAGAACCUUACCUGGUCUUGACAUCCACAGAACUUUCCAGAGAUGGAUUGGUGCCUUCGGGAACUGUGAGACAGGUGCUGCAUGGCUGUCGUCAGCUCGUGUUGUGAAAUGUUGGGUUAAGUCCCGCAACGAGCGCAACCCUUAUCCUUUGUUGCCAGCGGUUAGGCCGGGAACUCAAAGGAGACUGCCAGUGAUAAACUGGAGGAAGGUGGGGAUGACGUCAAGUCAUCAUGGCCCUUACGACCAGGGCUACACACGUGCUACAAUGGCAUAUACAAAGAGAAGCGACCUCGCGAGAGCAAGCGGACCUCAUAAAGUAUGUCGUAGUCCGGAUUGGAGUCUGCAACUCGACUCCAUGAAGUCGGAAUCGCUAGUAAUCGUAGAUCAGAAUGCUACGGUGAAUACGUUCCCGGGCCUUGUACACACCGCCCGUCACACCAUGGGAGUGGGUUGCAAAAGAAGUAGGUAGCUUAACCUUCGGGAGGGCGCUUACCACUUUGUGAUUCAUGACUGGGGUGAAGUCGUAACAAGGUAACCGUAGGGGAACCUGCGGUUGGAUCACCUCCUUACCUUAAAGAA